UGGGGAAUAUUGCACAAUGGGCGCAAGCCUGAUGCAGCCAUGCCGCGUGUAUGAAGAAGGCCUUCGGGUUGUAAAGUACUUUCAGCGGGGAGGAAGGGAGUAAAGUUAAUACCUUUGCUCAUUGACGUUACCCGCAGAAGAAGCACCGGCUAACUCCGUGCCAGCAGCCGCGGUAAUACGGAGGGUGCAAGCGUUAAUCGGAAUUACUGGGCGUAAAGCGCACGCAGGCGGUUUGUUAAGUCAGAUGUGAAAUCCCCGGGCUCAACCUGGUAACUGCAUCUGAUACUGGCAAGCUUGAGUCUCGUAGAGGGGGGUAGAAUUCCAGGUGUAGCGGUGAAAUGCGUAGAGAUCUGGAGGAAUACCGGUGGCGAAGGCGGCCCCCUGGACGAAGACUGACGCUCAGGUGCGAAAGCGUGGGGAGCAAACAGG
rnacentral:rRNA from 1 species